AGGGUUUGAUCAUGGCUCAGGAUGAACGCUGGCGGUAUGCUUAACACAUGCAAGUCGAACGAAAGUUUUUAACUUUAGUGGCGAACGGGUGCGUAAUACGUGAGAAUCUGCCCUUAGGAGGAGUAUAACUGCUGGAAACGGCUGCUAACACUCCAUAUGUCGAGAGAUGAAAUAAUUUAUUGCCUAAGGAUGAGCUCGCGCCUGAUUAGCUAGUUGGUGAGGUAAUGGCUCACCAAGGCCACGAUCAGUAGCUGGUUUGAGAGAACGAUCAGCCACACUGGGACUGAGACACGGCCCAGACUCCUCCGGGAGGCAGCAGUGAGGAAUUUUCCGCAAUGGGCGAAAGCCUGACGGAGCAAUACCGCGUGAGGGAUGAAGGAUUUUGGUCUGUAAACCUCUUUUCUCAAGAAAGAAGUUCUGACGGUACUUGAGGAAUAAGCAUCGGCUAACUCCGUGCCAGCAGCCGCGGUAAUACGGGGGAUGCAAGCGUUAUCCGGAAUCAUUGGGCGUAAAGCGCCUGUAGGUUGUUUAAUAAGUCUGUUGUUAAAGACUAGGGCUUAACCCUAGAAAAGCAAUGGAAACUACUAGACUAGAGUAUGGCAGGGGUAGAGGGAAUUUCUAGUGUAGCGGUGAAAUGCGUAGAUAUUAGAAAGAACACCGGUGGCGAAAGCGCUCUACUGGACCAUUACUGACACUCAGAGGCGAAAGCUAGGGUAGCAAAAGGGAUUAGAUACCCCUGUAGUCCUAGCCGUAAACGAUGGAUACUAGAUGUUGUGCAUAAUGUACAGUAUCGU
rnacentral:rRNA from 1 species